AACGAACGCUGGCGGCAGGCUUAACACAUGCAAGUCGAACGCCCCGCAAGGGGAGUGGCAGACGGGUGAGUAACGCGUGGGAAUCUACCCAUCCCUACGGAACAACUCCGGGAAACUGGAGCUAAUACCGUAUACGCCCUACGGGGGAAAGAUGUAUCGGGGAUGGAUGAGCCCGCGUUGGAUUAGCUAGUUGGUGGGGUAAAGGCCUACCAAGGCGACGAUCCAUAGCUGGUCUGAGAGGAUGAUCAGCCACAUUGGGACUGAGACACGGCCCAAACUCCUACGGGAGGCAGCAGUGGGGAAUAUUGGACAAUGGGCGCAAGCCUGAUCCAGCCAUGCCGCGUGAGUGAUGAAGGUCUUAGGAUUGUAAUGCUCUUUCACCGAUGAAGAUAAUGACGGUAGUCGGAGAAGAAGCCCCGGCUAACUUCGUGCCAGCCGCCGCCGUAA
rnacentral:rRNA from 1 species